CCUCCUGUCAGCUCCUUUAAGUAGACUCCGCGGGGUAGCGUUCAGUCUUUCGGCGACUGUGAAGUUCGAGAGAUUCCUGCCGGGCCGAGAACGUAGAUCACCUUUUACUCCCCUUCGACCUUUCCCCGAAGCCUUUGAAUAAAAUGGUUUGAUCCCA